UACGAAGGGGGCUAGCGUUGUUCGGAAUUACUGGGCGUAAAGGGCGCGUAGGCGGUACUUCAAGUCAGGCGUGAAAGCCCCGGGCUCAGCCUGGGAACCGCGCUUGAGACUGGGGAACUAGAGUUCGGGAGAGGAUGGUGGAAUUCCCAGUGUAGAGGUGAAAUUCGUAGAUAUUGGGAAGAACACCGAUGGCGAAGGCAGCCAUCUGGACCGACACUGACGCUGAGGCGCGAAAGCGUGGGGAGCAAACAGG
rnacentral:rRNA from 1 species